UCGGAUACAAUUUAUAAACGAGUUACCCUAAGGAACAUUCAGUUAAAGUUUGGAAGUAUUUGGCCCAGUAGUUUCAGAGUAGAAGAUUUUUGUAAAAGAUAACUAAGAUUUACAAAAAAUGGUUAAAAAUUGACUAUAAAGGGCAAUAACUCCUAAAGGGGUUCAACUGACCAUUUCAGUCAUGUUGACUUAUUUGUAAAUCUUACUUUGCUGAACAUUAUUGCUGUUUACAGUUUAUCUCUAUCUAUAAUAAUAUUCAAGAUAAUAACCAAAAACAGCAAAA
rnacentral:lncRNA from 1 species